AGAGUUUGAUCCUGGCUCAGGACGAACGCUGGCGGCGUGCCUAAUACAUGCAAGUCGAACGCUUCUUUUUCCACCGGAGCUUGCUCCACCGGAAAAAGAGGAGUGGCGAACGGGUGAGUAACACGUGGGUAACCUGCCCAUCAGAAGGGGAUAACACUUGGAAACAGGUGCUAAUACCGUAUAACAAUCGAAACCGCAUGGUUUUGAUUUGAAAGGCGCUUUCGGGUGUCGCUGAUGGAUGGACCCGCGGUGCAUUAGCUAGUUGGUGAGGUAACGGCUCACCAAGGCCACGAUGCAUAGCCGACCUGAGAGGGUGAUCGGCCACAUUGGGACUGAGACACGGCCCAAACUCCUACGGGAGGCAGCAGUAGGGAAUCUUCGGCAAUGGACGAAAGUCUGACCGAGCAACGCCGCGUGAGUGAAGAAGGUUUUCGGAUCGUAAAACUCUGUUGUUAGAGAAGAACAAGGAUGAGAGUAACUGUUCAUCCCUUGACGGUAUCUAACCAGAAAGCCACGGCUAACUACGUGCCAGCAGCCGCGGUAAUACGUAGGUGGCAAGCGUUGUCCGGAUUUAUUGGGCGUAAAGCGAGCGCAGGCGGUUUCUUAAGUCUGAUGUGAAAGCCCCCGGCUCAACCGGGGAGGGUCAUUGGAAACUGGGAGACUUGAGUGCAGAAGAGGAGAGUGGAAUUCCAUGUGUAGCGGUGAAAUGCGUAGAUAUAUGGAGGAACACCAGUGGCGAAGGCGGCUCUCUGGUCUGUAACUGACGCUGAGGCUCGAAAGCGUGGGGAGCAAACAGGAUUAGAUACCCUGGUAGUCCACGCCGUAAACG
rnacentral:rRNA from 1 species